rfam:Ovis aries breed Texel chromosome 15, whole genome shotgun sequence.
UCCCUGAUGGUCCAACAGCUAAGACGCCACACUCCCAAUGCACUCCCAAUGCAGGGGUCCUGGUUCAAUCCCUGGUCAGGGAA